rnacentral:rRNA from 1 species
GAUGAACGCUGACAGAAUGCUUAACACAUGCAAGUCGACUGGAACUUCGGUUUGGGUGGCGGACGGGUGAGUAACGCGUAAAGAACUUGCCUCACAGUUAGGGACAACAUUUGGAAACGAAUGCUAAUACCUGAUAUUAUAAUUUUAGGUCAUCCUAGAAUUAUGAAGGUUAUAGGCGCUGGGAUAGAGCUUUGGGUCCCAUUAGCGAGUUGGAGAGGUAAGGGCUCACCAAGGCGAUGAUGGGUAGCCGGCCUGGGAGGGUGACCGGCCACAAGGGGACUGAGACACGGCCCUUACUCCUCCGGGAGGCAACAGUGGGGAAUAUUGGACAAUGGACCAAGCGUCUGAUCCAGCAAUUCUGUGUGCACGAUGAAGUUUUUCGGAAUGUAAAGUGCUUUCAGUUGGCAAGAAAAAAAUGACGGUACCAACAGAAGAAGCGACGGCUAACUACGUG